rnacentral:rRNA from 1 species
AGAGUUUGAUCCUGGCUCAGGACGAACGCUGGCGGCGUGCCUAACACAUGCAAGUCGAGCGGGGGACUUCGGUCCCCAGCGGCGGACGGGUGAGUAACACGUGGGUAACCUGCCUCAUAGAGGGGGAUAGCCUCCCGAAAGGGAGAUUAAUACCGCAUAAUAAAUUGCUGUCGCAUGACAGUAAUUUUAAAGGAGUAAUC